rnacentral:ncRNA from 3 species
UGUGGGAGCGAGCUUGCUCGCGAAGGCGUAGUGUCAGUCACUUCAAUAUUGGCUGAACUGACGCCAUCGCGAGCAAGCUCGCUCCCACA